rnacentral:tRNA from 1 species
GGGACGGCGUCGCCGGGGUGCACCCGCGGGGCCUGCGGGGCCUGCGGGGCCUGCAGGACGGAGUCCCCGGUCCGGUCCGGGGCCGUCCCG